rnacentral:lncRNA from 1 species
AGAUCGACCAACACUCAACUUAAUGGCUUUAUAUCAGCUGCACCACAAGUCCCAUUGCCCCCGACGAUGUGGAGAUGAAUGCGCUGGUAAUGACACGCCCGUCAGUCCUCAGCCUCUGCCCUAUUCUAAAACUGAAUUUGCACAAUGGCUUUUUGAAAGGCCUGUCACCGCUUCAGCGCCGCCUCUGUCGCACUUCUCUGUGGGAGCUGACAUUUUGCUGAUACUUCAUCAGGCUGGACUGCCUGCUGAGCGCCAGAUUGUCUCUAGAUCCUGGAAUUUAAAGAGGAGAAGUAAAGAUGAGGAUCUACUCUAUACCAGCCCUCACCACGUAAACUGGAUCCUCCUCUGCCCUUUGAAGUCGGGUACGUUGUUCAUACUUCUCUGAGCUGUUACGCUUCACACAGAAAACAAUUAGUGCUUGUGACUUAGUCGGAUGACAAAACCUCCCGUAGCACCCUGGUUCACACACACAGGCACCAUACAUCCUGCGGCAAUGGCCAUUGUUGGUGCAGUUACAUUUUCUUCUGCAAUUUUUCCCAAAGAACCCUUGCAAUCACCAUGGAGAGCAAAGAAUAAACAAAGCAAAUAUUAACCCACAUGCAAAACUUGCUGGAGUUGCUUUUAAGUGGAAUAAGAAGCUUGAAAAAGUUGAGAUAUUUCAUAUCUGGUAGGACUGAAUGAAGCAAGGGAGGUCUUCUGAGAACUACAGACAUUAUUCUGCAUCUUUUGCUCAAAAUUUUUCAGGGAAUUGCCUUUGCUCCAGAUUAAAAUCCCCAAAGAGCACUGAGCCCUUGCGCUGGCUGAGUCGUGUCACGCUGCUGUCUCUCUGUCUUUAUUCUGCCUUUGGGUUUUGCAGUGUCUCGCACACCUUCCUUCCUUGUCUCAAGUGCUCUUCUCUUCCUCUUGCCCUGUCUCAUUUCUUCUCAUUCUGCAUGCUUCUACUUAGAAGUCACUUCUCCAGAAGGCGCUCCUGGUCUGCAGCCCCAUCUCACUUCCAUCCCUGCAUUAACACUUAAUUUGUAAAACCUAUCAACUUCUGUAAAUCAAAAUCUUCCCCUUGCUUUACUGCUCUUCAUGCUUCACUUGGUUUCCUUACUCUUCUUCUCUAUCUCUGAUCUCACUGUGUUUUUCUUCUGCUGGUUUACCUCCCUCUGACAUCACAGUUCACAUCUGAGACCUGGGAGGACUCGAUACACUCCACCAUCUGCCGGAAGACUCCAGACUAAGUGCAUCUCAGUGGACACAGAGGGGAAAGCCUGCCCACCAGGAGACUGAGGAGGACAGCAGUGACUCCUAUGGCUGUGACCCCUCCAGUGGGGACGGUGGGCUGUGGAGACGGCUCUAGGAAGGGAAAGCAGGUGCAGGGUCCUGAUGCGCAGGUGUCACACAGCUGCCGAUGCACAGUGGCCUCCCAGCUGGUAGGCGCUGGGGUGGGGGCGCAAGGAACACAGCUCCUUCCAGCACCCAGUCAAGGAAGUCUUCCUGGGCUCUACGUCUGUCUUGAACAAGACUGUAAAUUCCACUUGGAGAAAACAAAAUCCUUUCUACUUAUUUAUUAUGGUCAUACCAGAAUGCCUAGAACAGUUCUUUGCAAUCACUUAGUUUUUUAAAUAAAUAAACAUUGCUCACAGGGAUAAGCUACUAGGAUGGCAGCAGAAACUUUCCUGUACCUCAGAACAUGAAAUUUGGUUUCCAUCUCCCAGGUUCCACAGACUGUAAUUCUUAGUAAACUCCCCCUGACUUCUGGCAAUU